CUGCUGUUAAUUCAACAUCUCUAACUUCCCCUAGAGGGCAAUGAAAUUGCAUAAGAUGGAGGAGAGAGCACCCAUUCCAUGUUCCACAGGGUAAGUGAAUGUCAUAGAGAAGCACAGAUUCAUUUGGAUCCUUUGCUUGCUUGUCUUCUGGAGGAUUGCUUUUUCAACAUAUCGAUCAAAGUAUUAGUGCUGAAGGGCCUAGCACAAUGGGGUUCUGAUCCAGUGUUACCCAGGAUUUUGCUGAACCCAAAGCUCUUGGAAACUUUACUCUUUGCAAAGGUGGUGGCAGGAAAUACAUCUAUGGGGACACAGUCUGUCCAGCCAGUAGUUGAUGCAACCAGGAAAACAAAGCACUGCCACCUGCCUUGUCCACUGUAGACUGGGAAAGGUAUACAAGUCUUUAUUGUUCCGGCUGCCUUACAGAGGAAUUGCCCAUGCCUGUAAACCCAU